UUGCAUUGUCACACUCUUUCAGAGAGUUUUCUGUUCAAUUUAUGCAAUCUUUGUCUGGUGCAAAUAUUGGAGAAAUUAGAAUUUAUUUUUUUCUACGCAACUAUGUUUUUUUUUAUGUAUUAUUAUAUAUGUAUGUUCAUUUUUUUCUUUACGUAUUCAUGAACUUGUAUGUAUGUAUGAUGUGUGUGUUCAUUGUUUUUUUUUC
rnacentral:lncRNA from 1 species